rnacentral:rRNA from 1 species
GACGAACGCUGGCGGCGUGCUUAACACAUGCAAGUCGUACGGAAAGGCCCUGCUUUUGUGGGGUGCUCGAGUGGCGAACGGGUGAGUAACACGUGAGUAACCUGCCCUUGACUUUGGGAUAACUUCAGGAAACUGGGGCUAAUACCGGAUAGGAGCUCCUGCUGCAUGGUGGGGGUUGGAAAGUUUCGGCGGUUGGGGAUGGACUCGCGGCUUAUCAGCUUGUUGGUGGGGUAGUGGCUUACCAAGGCUUUGACGGGUAGCCGGCCUGAGAGGGUGACCGGCCACAUUGGGACUGAGAUACGGCCCAGACUCCUACGGGAGGCGGCAGUGGGGAAUAUUGCACAAUGGGCGGAAGCCUGAUGCAGCAACGCCGCGUGCGGGAUGACGGCCUUCGGGUUGUAAACCGCUUUCGCCUGUGACGAAGCGUGAGUGACGGUAAUGGGUAAAGAAGCACCGGCUAACUACGUG